CCUACGGGAGGCAGCAGUGAGGAAUAUUGGUCAAUGGGCGCGAGCCUGAACCAGCCAAGUCGCGUGAGGGAAGACGGUCCUAUGGAUUGUAAACCUCUUUUGUCAGGGAGCAAAAGACGCCACGCGUGGCGUUCCGAGAGUACCCGAAGAAAAAGCAUCGGCUAACUCCGUGCCAGCAGCCGCGGUAAUACGUAGGGGGCAAGCGUUAUCCGGAAUCACUGGGUGUAAAGGGAGCGUAGACGGCUGAGCAAGCCUGAAGUGAAAGGCGGGGGCCCAACCCCCGGACUGCUUUGGGAACUGUACGGCUGGAGUGCAGGAGAGGUAAGUGGAAUUCCUAGUGUAGCGGUGAAAUGCGUAGAUAUUAGGAGGAACACCAGUGGCGAAGGCGGCUUACUGGACUGUAACUGACGUUGAGGCUCGAAAGCGUGGGGAGCAAACAGGAUUAGAUACCCUAGUAGUC
rnacentral:rRNA from 1 species